rnacentral:rRNA from 1 species
GCUCAAAUUUGAAAUCUGGUAGCCUUCGGCUGCCCGAGUUGUAAUCUAGAGAAGUGUUUUCCGUGCCGGCCCAUGUACAAGUCCCUUGGAACAGGGCGUCAUAGAGGGUGAGAAUCCCGUCCUUGACAUGGACCCCCGGUGCUUUGUGAUACACUUUCAACGAGUCGAGUUGUUUGGGAAUGCAGCUCAAAAUGGGUGGUGAAUUCCAUCUAAAGCUAAAUAUUGGCGAGAGACCGAUAGCGAACAAGUACCGUGAGGGAAAGAUGAAAAGCACUUUGGAAAGAGAGUUAAACAGUACGUGAAAUUGUUGAAAGGGAAACGAUUGAAGUCAGUCAUGCUCUUUGGAUUCAGCCGUUCUGCGGUGUAUUUCCAUUGAGUGGGGUCAACAUCAGUUUUGACCGCUGGAUAAAGGCACUAGGAAGGUAGCACUCUCGGGUGAACUUAUAGCCUAGCGUCAUAUACAGUGGUUGGGACUGAGGAACGCAGCAUGCCUUUAUGGCCGGGAUUCGUCCACGUACAUGCUUAGGAUGUUGACAUAAUGGCUUUAAACGACCCGUCU